UGGGGAAUAUUGCACAAUGGGCGCAAGCCUGAUGCAGCCAUGCCGCGUGUAUGAAGAAGGCCUUCGGGUUGUAAAGUACUUUCAGUCGGGAGGAAGGUGUCAAGGUUAAUAACCUUGGCAAUUGACGUUACCGACAGAAGAAGCACCGGCUAACUCCGUGCCAGCAGCCGCGGUAAUACGGAGGGUGCAAGCGUUAAUCGGAAUUACUGGGCGUAAAGCGCACGCAGGCGGUUGAUUGAGUCAGAGGUGAAAUCCCCGGGCUUAACCCGGAAAGUGCAUCUGAUACUGGUCAGCUAGAGUCUUGUAGAGGGGGGUAGAAUUCCAUGUGUAGCGGUGAAAUGCGUAGAGAUGGGGAGGAAUACCGGUGGCGAAGGCGGCCCCCUGGACGAAGACUGACGCUCAGGUGCGAAAGCGUGGGGAGCAAACAGG
rnacentral:rRNA from 1 species